rnacentral:rRNA from 1 species
UACGUAGGGUGCGAGCGUUAAUCGGAAUUACUGGGCGUAAAGCGUGCGCAGGCGGUCUGUUAAGACCGAUGUGAAAUCCCCGGGCUUAACCUGGGAACUGCAUUGGUGACUGGCAGGCUUUGAGUGUGGCAGAGGGGGGUAGAAUUCCACGAGUAGCAGUGAAAUGCGUAGAGAUGUGGAGGAAUACCGAUGGCGAAGGCAGCCCCCUGGGCCAACACUGACGCUCAUGCACGAAAGCGUGGGGAGCAAACAGG